GACGAACGCUGGCGGCGUGCUUAACACAUGCAGGUCGAACGGUAAGGCCCUUCGGGGUACACGAGUGGCGAACGGGUGAGUAACACGUGGGUGAUCUGCCCUGCACUUCGGGAUAAGCCUGGGAAACUGGGUCUAAUACCGGAUAGGACUCCGGACUGCAUGGUCUGGGGUGGAAAGCUUUUGCGGUGUGGGAUGGGCCCGCGGCCUAUCAGCUUGUUGGUGGGGUGAUGGCCUACCAAGGCGACGACGGGUAGCCGGCCUGAGAGGGUGACCGGCCACAAUGGGACUGAGAUACGGCCCAGACUGCUACGGGAGGCAGCAGUGGGGAAUAUUGCACAAUGGGCGCAAGCCUGAUGCAGCGACGCCGCGUGAGGGAUGACGGCCUUCGGGUUGUAAACCUCUUUCAGCAUCGACGAAGCGAAAGUGACGGUAGGUGCAGAAGAAGGACCGGCCAACUACGUGCCAGCAGCCGCAGUAA
rnacentral:rRNA from 1 species